AGAAACUUAAAAACCAAUUUCAAUGACAGAAAAGGAUAACAACAUCAUAUAACAGAUGGAUUUAAUUAAGUUCGUGAUUCAUACAGUAAGAUAUUCAUAAAUAAGCAUUCCACUCACUAAGAAAAUAUGAAAAAAGACCUUACUACUUAAUCAUUAUGUGUAAUAAAUAAUUUAACUACUUACAAUUUACAUUAUGCGAUAUAAAUAUAUGUAGGUUAAACAUGUUAAAUUCUUCACCUUAUCAGAAUUGUAUAUAAGGCAAGUGCACUAUCUGUCAAUAACAAUGAAUAUUGUCCACAGAAAUGAAAUGAGGAGGUGAAAGGUACUUGUUCUGAUUGAUUUGAAUACAAAACUCAUCAGUGAUACCAGGUUUACAAUUUUGUGUUUGCGCUAGACGCUCGUUUUGUCUUCAAAAGGCUCACCAGUGACGCUCAAAUAAAAGUUAAAAAGGCCAAAUUUAGUACAAAGCUGAAGAGGAUUAAAAACACUAAUUUAUGAGAAAAAAGCUUAUUUUAGAAAUAGUUUGGUUACUAGUUUUCUAAAAUGUCAAUCGUAUUGAUCAUGAGCAAUCAAAAUUAAAAUAUUUGAUAUACAUAGUUCCACAAGUCAAAAUUUAAUUUCUGUCAUAACAUAUAUUUUUUUGUAUUUUCCUUUAUUAUUCAUUCGUCUACAAUGACAUUAAAAAAAUGUCACUACUGUCCCAUAUACAAUAUUCAAUAUGUUUAAAUACUUUGCAAUGCAUUUUUUUGUAUAAAAUUCUGGUACUAUCGAUUCACGAUUCAUCGAUAACAUCUCGACAUUGUUGGAAACCAUGUAACAUCUUUGUUUGGCCUCCACUUCGAACAAAAUUUAAGUGUUGGUUAAAGUAAACUUAAAAAAGUAAUUGUCAUUAUAUGCAUUGGCUUGUCAUUUGUAAAAAAUAACCAUAAACUGUCGCAGAUAAUUUCAAUAUUUGAUCAUGUUAAUGGCUGAUACAUUUAUGUGCGUUUUAUUUAUUAAUAUUGUAGAUCUUUAUCUUCAUAUUGGUGUCAUUUGUUGCUACAGAAUAUGAUUUCAAGUGUCCACAUGCAUCACACAGAAUAAUACGUGCUCAUUGGUAUUGUAAUAUAACAGAAGAAAUUAAUUCUUGUUUAAAAGAUGUCCGGCAAGAUUCUUACAGAGAAUCGUGCUUAUAUAAAUCUGAUUUUGUCAGAAUGGGCAAGUAUAAAUAGUCAUCAAAUUGAAAGUAGGUUGCAAUAACAUGUACAAUGAAAUGAAAAUUACUCAUGUAGAGAAAUACAUAACAAAUACAUGUACAUGGUCUUUAUAAAAUACCUGAACUCACACAACAUGAUCUAAAUUGACCUUCUUGAAGUAUUGUACUAAUCCUUUCACAUUCGACCUAUGCAGAAAUUAUGUAUAUCUGUGUAUUGUAUCACCAGCCCAGUAGUCCGCACUUCGGUGCUAACAUGAAAAUCAAUUUUUAUAAAUCCCCUGUUACAAAACUUUAAAUUUUUCGAAAAGCUAAGGAUUUUUUUUAUCCCAGGAAUAGAUUACCUAAGUUU
rnacentral:lncRNA from 1 species